GAUGAACGCUGGCGGCGUGCCUAAUACAUGCAAGUCGAGCGAACAGACGAGGAGCUUGCUCCUCUGACGUUAGCGGCGGACGGGUGAGUAACACGUGGAUAACCUACCUAUAAGACUGGGAUAACUUCGGGAAACCGGAGCUAAUACCGGAUAAUAUAUUGAACCGCAUGGUUCAAUAGUGAAAGACGGUUUUGCUGUCACUUAUAGAUGGAUCCGCGCCGCAUUAGCUAGUUGGUAAGGUAACGGCUUACCAAGGCAACGAUGCGUAGCCGACCUGAGAGGGUGAUCGGCCACACUGGAACUGAGACACGGUCCAGACUCCUACGGGAGGCAGCAGUAGGGAAUCUUCCGCAAUGGGCGAAAGCCUGACGGAGCAACGCCGCGUGAGUGAUGAAGGUCUUCGGAUCGUAAAACUCUGUUAUUAGGGAAGAACAAAUGUGUAAGUAACUAUGCACGUCUUGACGGUACCUAAUCAGAAAGCCACGCUAACUACGUG
rnacentral:rRNA from 1 species